rnacentral:rRNA from 1 species
UACGGGGGGGGUAAGCGUUGUUCGGAAUUACUGGGCGUAAAGGGCUCGUAGGCGGCCAACUAAGUCAGACGUGAAAUCCCUCAGCUUAACUGGGGAACUGCGUCUGAUACUGGAUGGCUUGGAUUCGGGAGAGGAAUGCGGAAUUCCAGGUGUAGCGGUGAAAUGCGCAGAUAUCAGGAGGAACACCGGUGGCGAAGGCGGGUCUCUGGGCAACAACUGACGCUGAGGAGCGAAAGCGUGGGGAGCGAACAGG